rnacentral:rRNA from 1 species
CGACAAGCGGUGGAGCAUGUGGUUUAAUUCGAUGCAACGCGAAGAACCUUACCUGGGCUUGACAUCCACGGAACCUGCUGGAAACAGUGGGUGGCCUUUCGGGAGCCGUGAGACAGGUGCUGCAUAGCUGUCGUCAGCUCGUGUCGUGAGAUGUUGGGUUAAGUCCCGCAACGAGCGCAACCCUUGUCUUUAAUUGCCAUCAUUCAGUUGGGCACUUUAAAGAGACUGUCGGUGUUAAACCGGAGGAAGGUGGGGAUGACGUCAAGUCCUCAUGGCCUUUAUGCCCAGGGCUACACACGUGCUACAAUGGGUGGUACAAAGAGCAGCAAGCUCGCGAGAGCAAGCGAAUCUCAAAAAGCCAUCCUCAGUUCGGAUUGAAGUCUGCAACUCGACUUCAUGAAGUCGGAAUCGCUAGUAAUCGCGGAUCAGCAUGCCCGCGGUCCGAAUACGUUCCGGCCUU